rnacentral:rRNA from 1 species
CCUACGGGAGGCAGCAGUGGGGGAUAUUGGACAAUGGGGGGAACUCUGAUCCAGCGACGCCGCGUGAGUGAAGAAGUAUUUCGGUAUGUAAAGCUCUGUCAGCAGGGAAGAAAGAAAUGACGGUACCUGACUAAGAAGCUCCGGCUAACUACGUGCCAGCAGCCGCGGUAAUACGUAGGGGGCAAGCGUUAUCCGGAAUUACUGGGUGUAAAGGGAGCGUAGACGGUUAAGUAAGUCUGGAGUGAAAGGCCGGGGCCCAACCCCGGGACUGCUCUGGAAACUAUUGAACUUGAGUGCAGGAGAGGUAAGCGGAAUUCCUAGUGUAGCGGUGAAAUGCGUAGAUAUUAGGAGGAACACCAGUGGCGAAGGCGGCUUACUGGACUGUAACUGACGUUGAGGCUCGAAAGCGUGGGGAGCAAACAGGAUUAGAUACCCGGGUAGUC